CCUACGGGCGGCUGCAGUGGGGAAUAUUGCACAAUGGGCGCAAGCCUGAUGCAGCCAUGCCGCGUGUGUGAAGAAGGCCUUCGGGUUGUAAAGCACUUUCAGCGGGGAGGAAGGCGGUGAGGUUAAUAACCUCAUCGAUUGACGUUACCCGCAGAAGAAGCACCGGCUAACUCCGUGCCAGCAGCCGCGGUAAUACGGAGGGUGCAAGCGUUAGUCGGAAUUACUGGGCGUAAAGCGCACGCAGGCGGUCUGUCAAGUCGGAUGUGAAAUCCCCGGGCUCAACCUGGGAACUGCAUUCGAAACUGGCAGGCUAGAGUCUUGUAGAGGGGGGUAGAAUUCCAGGUGUAGCGGUGAAAUGCGUAGAGAUCUGGAGGAAUACCGGUGGCGAAGGCGGCCCCCUGGACAAAGACUGACGCUCAGGUGCGAAAGCGUGGGGAGCAAACAGGAUUAGAUACCCGGGUAGUC
rnacentral:rRNA from 1 species